AACGAACGCUGGCGGCAGGCCUAACACAUGCAAGUCGAGCGGACCUUUCGGGGUCAGCGGCGGACGGGUGAGUAACGCGUGGGAAUAUGCCCUUCUCUACGGAAUAGUCCUGGGAAACUGGGGGUAAUACCGUAUAGGCCCUUGGGGGGAAGGAUUUAUCGGGGAAGGAUUAGCCCGCGUUGGAUUAGGUAGUUGGUGGGGUAAUGGCCUACCAAGCCGACGAUCCAUAGCUGGUUUGAGAGGAUGAUCAGCCACACUGGGACUGAGACACGGCCCAGACUCCUACGGGAAGCAGCAGUGGGGAAUCUUAGACAAUGGGGGCAACCCUGAUCUAGCCAUGCCGCGUGAGUGAUGAAGGCCUUAGGGUUGUAAAGCUCUUUCAGCUGGGAAGAUAAUGACGGUACCAGCAGAAGAAGCCCCGGCUAACUCCGUG
rnacentral:rRNA from 1 species